UACGGGAGGCAGCAGGGGGAAUAUUGCACAAUGGGCGCAAGCCUGAUGCAGCCAUGCCGCGUGUAUGAAGAAGGCCUUCGGGUUGUAAAGUACUUUCAGUCGUGAGGAAGGUGUUAAGGUUAAUAACCUUAGCAAUUGACGUUAGCGACAGAAGAAGCACCGGCUAACUCCGUGCCAGCAGCCGCGGUAAUACGGAGGGUGCGAGCGUUAAUCGGAAUUACUGGGCGUAAAGGGCACGCAGGCGGUUAAUUAAGUUGGAUGUGAAAUCCCCGGGCUUAACCUGGGAAUGGCAUUCAAGACUGGUUAGCUAGAGUCUUGUAGAGGGGGUAGAAUUCCAUGUGUAGCGGUGAAAUGCGUAGAGAUGUGGAGGAAUACCGGUGGCGAAGGCGGCCCCUGGACAAAGACUGACGCUCAUGUGCGAAAGCUGGGGAGCAAACAGGGAUUAGAUAC
rnacentral:rRNA from 1 species